ensembl:lncRNA
GAAAUUUAGAUCUUUCCCCAUUGUUUUACUCGCACUAGGAAAGAAGAAGACUCCUGCCAUUUCAGUUAAGUGGAAUUAUUGGUUGUAAGAUCCAAGCUGAUUUCAGACAUAUUAAAACAUGAAUAAAACUUUGUCAUCGAAUCAGUAAUACAGGGGAUCAUGAGCAGAGGUAUUAUUCUCAAGGCUGUCAUGUACUGGACCUUUCUUGGAUCUGCAGUGUGGCAGUGUGGCAUGCGGCAUUCAAGAUGGGGAACAACUUUGCUGAGUCCUUGCUGUCUAUUCCACCAAAGCAGCAACGUGUCCCGUUCAGCUCAUAUCCAGGAAAAGAUCCACACUGAAGUAACAUCUGUGACAAAUGAAGUCAUGAGGUCUUCCAUGUACUGCUCUUUCCUUGUCUCAAGCACAUUCAUGUUAGAGGACAAAACCUCCCUAGAAGCAGCCAACCGAAAGGGUUUUCUGAUGGGAGAUAAUGUUGAACAUUUUGCUUUGUGACUUGAAUUUACAAUGUUCUGUCUGGAACUAAUUAUUAAUUGAAGAACUUUAUUUUUUGCCUGUUUUUCAUGUUCAUCCAGAAGAUUUAGCUCUGUCUCAAUAGAUAAAAUAUUCCAUACACUUAUGCAUUAAAAAUAUUUUAAUUAUUG